rnacentral:lncRNA from 13 species
CUAGGAAGAGGUGAGGAAGGAUUUUCCUAUAGGUUUCAGAGGGUGCAUAUAGUCAAGCUGAUACCCUGGUUUUGUACCUUCUAGCCUCCAAAGCUCUAAGACAAUAAAUUUCUGGUGCUUUGUUAUAGCAAGUUGAAGAGACGAAUACCCCUGAUGACUUAAAGGGUGUUCCAGUAUCCAACCAAGAACCCAGUUAGCUCAUGAACACACCUGACCUACUCCUCAUUCUGCAUCCUCACAUUCAUCGAUAACCUGCAUGGUGCCCAGUCACGUGGGCUGAAGGCCAAAGAUAAUACGUUUGCAGCUGCUUCUGUACGCCUUGGAAAUCUCAGAGAACACCCUGACUGACUCACAAAAGAUGCCUUGCCCAGAGAGGAGGGACUCUAGAAAGGCAGUCUGGCCACAGAGGCCUUGCUUAGCCACAGUGAGCACCUGACCAUCAGAAACCGAUCUCAGAUGCAUGAAUGAGUCCAGCUCUGACCAGAAUUCCUCAGCUGAGCCCAGCCCCAAUUGCUGGUCUCUGAAGUUUGAAUGAAAUAAAGAAAGCAAAAUGGAUCUGGAGUGGCCUAUGAAAUCUGGCAAAUCUUCACCAAUACUCUAUUUCCAUUUCCUGCCUGGAAACAGCUACAUGAAGGAUAAUACUGGUGGCUGCCAUGGGAGAGGACUGCACAAAAAGAUCAAGUUUAAGAGCAUCAGCAGUCACAAAUGGCUUGAGAAAAUUAUGCUAGAGACUGAAGCAGAUGGAAGAUUCUAGAAACAGUAAGUCUUCUUUUCAU